UCAAUGUGAAAGUAAGUGAAUGUUUAAGUGGGCUUACAUUUCAGCAUGCAUGGAUCCUAAAAGUCAUCCCCAGUGCAAUGACCUUCCCUAAUAGUUGUAUAGCUAUACAGUUUGCUUAAUCUUUUAAGUGCAUUACAAUAAAUAGAUGCAUAUACUGCAGCCACAAGCACAGCAAGCAUCAACAGCAAAAAUACAUUUCUCACAGCUUUUCCUAAAGUACCAUUCACCUUUUUCCCUCAGACCCAAAGAAAGCACUCACCCAUCUCCACUAAUUCCCUCAAACACAGAAGCUGUCAACUGAGAGCCCUGGCUGCCAACUCUGUUAAAAGUUUUCUGGUGCCCCAGUUGCAAUGGGUGAUAGCCCUCCACAGGCUUCCAAGUGAAAUGUGAUCAUUUCUUGCCCAUCCUUGUGUUCUCAGCACCAUCCAAUUAACAGUGGACCCCGACCAGCAAGGAUAUCCAGCAGUGAAUAUUAUUGCUAACCCAACUGAGCACCUGCUGAUGUGGAUGCCGAAUGCAGUUGACAGAGACCCAUUUUAUUUUCCACCAUACUUCAGUCUUCUGGGCUUGUUCAGACACAGCCCAUGGAGGUCCACACUGGAACAGCUAUCCAC